AUAAUUGCUCUGCCUUCUCUCUAAGAUAUCCAAACACUGAACCGCUUAAUUUUUAGUUUGAAGGUGCCUAAACGUUCACAACGACAAGGAUUUCAAUUUGAACCGAACAAUUUCCUGUUCCGACCGGUUCUGUAAGUUCAGCGCGGUGUGGGUACGGUCCUAGGGUGUUCUUGACCAGUUUACUGUUAAGCUUUCCAGAGGAAGGAGAGGUUUCACUGGAGCAUGUCUUGGAGGAAAAUGAAGAUUUUGCAGCUUAGACUCACUAUAAUUUCUUAGUUAUAUUAUGUCAUUUUGAGAUACUAUGUUUUGUCUUUAAAAUUUUUAAAUUCUUAGCUAUUUUGAUGGAUGACUGUAAUUCGAUUUCU